rnacentral:rRNA from 1 species
GAUUAACGCUGGCGGCGUGCAUAACACAUGCAAGUCGAACGAUGAAACUUUUUUGAUUUCUUCGGAAUGAAAAAAAGUGGAUUAGUGGCGGACGGGUGAGUAACGCGUGAGUAACCUGCCUUAGAGAAGGGGAUAGCCUUUGGAAACGAAGAAUAAUACCCUAUGAAACCAUAACCUCGCAUGAGGCCUUGGUCAAAGAUUUAUCGCUCUAAGAUGGACUUGCGUCUGAUUAGUUAGUUGGUGGGGUAACGGCCCACCAAGACAGCGAUCAGUAGCCGGCUUGAGAGAGUGUACGGCCACAUUGGGACUGAGACACGGCCCAGACUCCUACGGGAGGCAGCAGUGGGGAAUUUUGCACAAUGGGGGGAACCCUGAUGCAGCGACGCCGCGUGAUUUAGAAGGCCUUCGGGUUGUAAAAAUCUUUUCUAUGGGAAGAAAAUGACAGUACCAUAGGAAUAAGGACCGGCUAAUUACGUGCCAGCAGCCGCGGUAAUACGUAAGGUCCGAGCGUUGUCCGGAAUCAUUGGGCGUAAAGGGUACGUAGGCGGGUAAGCAAGUUAGAAGUGAAAUCCUAUAGCUCAACUAUAGUAAGCUUUUAAAACUGCUCAUCUUGAGGUAUGGAAGGGAAAGUGGAAUUCCUAGCGUAGCGGUGAAAUGCGCAGAUAUUAGGAGGAGUAUCGGUGGCGAAGGCGACUUUCUGGCCAUAACCUGACGCUGAGGUACGAAAGCGUGAGUAGCAAACAUG